rnacentral:sRNA from 1 species
UAGCUUGUACCUUGUCUGUCGCGAAUGG